CGCUGGAGCUUUCUCAGUAGUUCAAGUUCAGGACCCUGUUUGGCAUCUGUUUAGGGUUUUCAACGUAUUCGACUAGGGUUUUUUUGACCUCCCUUCCUCAGUCUCUGGAAGGUGAGGAGUCGGUUUUAAAAAGCAAGUUGACUUUUGACGGAGGACCAACUUUACAGUUUGGAUCACAUUUCCAUUUGUCGAAGGCAGUGACUCCAACCAGGUCUUCAGAGCCUCCCCAGCUCUUGUCUCUGCCGCCACCUCACAACACAUCCACCACCAUGAUCAUCAGACUGGGCAGACUGACACCCGGAUACUUCCGCCUCCUCCAGAGGCAAGUUGCCGGUGAGGUGCAGACCCAACCACAGGACCGUUCUGUCAACCAGAUAGCCAUGAUGCUGGCCAUCAUGGGCCUGAGCUUCUCCUACUACAGUGCCAAACAGAUGACCGCAAAGGUUCAGGCCGAGCCGGCGCCCUGAACAGGACCCGGGCGACUCUGACCUCUUUGAAGAUGAUGGAUGAGCCAAUGAGAAGUGAAGGAAGCAGGAGCAGAGACACGAUGGCGUCGCAGAGGACUGUCCUUUUUCUCUCCUCAGUCAUAGUCACUCAAGAUGCUGAAAUUCUGGGACCCCUCACUCACCAUUCAGGGCUGCUGCUAGUGUUUUCUGGACUUCUCUAUAGUCAGGACCUUGAGGGAUUUGUGGGGGGUGGGGAUCUGGUUUGUAUGAGGCCGGUUUGGGUGGGUGGUCACAACCAGCUUUCAUCUGGGUCUGACUAUUAGGUGUUACAAAGGUCCAUGCUUGCAAGACGCCGUCAAUACUGUUCUGAUCUAUAAAAGGGGGGAAAAAAAACCCUGAAAUUACUGUGAAUUUUGCCAAAGCGAGACUAGAUAGGAUUCCAUGAUCAGAACAGUAAUGCCUUUGUAAGGGAAGGCAGUCUGCAAUGAGAUGUACCUUGUAGCAAAGUGAUGUCAGGCCCAGACGAUGGUUUAAUGGGAAGAAUUCUUAGCUCUAAUUUUUUAUUUUUUUUUUGUAUUUCCUUAAGUUGGAAAACAUUGCAGAGCCUCCUGAACAGAACAGAGGAGCUGCAUCACUAAUUUGUAUAUUCCUGUGAAAUGUGUCAGGCAUUCAGUCAAUAUUUCCACAGUUCUGCUGCAAUAAUUUAAAGACUACAGUACAUCUGUAAAGGGACUUAAAGCGACUCACUACCUUUUUUUUUUUUUUUUUUUUUUUUUUUUUUUUUUUUUUAUGUUUUUUUUUUUUUCUUGUCUGUAAUUUCACUUUUUCUUCCAUUGUGUUUAAUAUUAUUCAAGUCCUGUUAUGUGUGUGGCUACAUGGUUAGCACCCUGGUUGAAAACCCUUCUGUGAUAAUGCAAUCAUUUAACUUUACUGAACAUUGCAUGGGUGUGCUGACUUUUAAUCAACAAAUGUUUUUACUGAUAAAUGAAUGUAUAACUUUUUUUUUUUGUAAUGAUUGAAUAAAGCUGUGAAUAUGAUGUACA